GGAGGGGGGCUAGCGUUGUUCAGAAUUACUGGGCGUAAAGGGGGCGCGUAGCGGCUGCCAAGUUAGGGGUGAAAGGCCCGGGCUCAACCCGGGAACUGCCCUUGAAACUGGCAAGCUAGAGUCCGAGAGAGGAUGGCGGAAUUCCCAGUGUAGAGGUGAAAUUCGUAGAUAUUGGGAAGAACACCGGUGGCGAAGGCGGCCAUCUGGCUCGGUACUGACGCUGAGGCGCGAAAGCGUGGGGAGCAAACAGGAUUAGAUACCCUGGUAGUCCACGCCGUAAACGAUGUGUGCUAGACGUUGGGGGUCUUAGGCCUUCGGUGUCGCAGCUAACGCGUUAAGCACACCGCCUGGGGAGUACGGCCGCAAGGUUA
rnacentral:rRNA from 1 species